UUGCUUGCUUCAGCAGCACAUAUACUAAAAUUGCAAUGACACAGAGAAGAUUAGCAUGGUCCCUGCGGAAGGAUGACAUGUAAAUUCAGGAAGCAUUCCAUAUUUAA
rnacentral:snRNA from 1 species